rnacentral:miRNA from 1 species
GGGGGUCUGUUUCUGUCUUUGGUUAUCUAGCUGUAUGAGUUUUAAAUACCUGUCAUAAAGCUAGAUAACCGAAAGUAGAAAUGACUU